rnacentral:misc_RNA from 1 species
UUUUGCUUUGGAGGUUCAAUCACAGCUUGAGGGAGCUCUUGGUCAUACUCGUAGUGAGACUCUAGCUGAGGCGAGGUCGGGUAGUAGUUAUUUAGAUGAGGCUGCUCGGAGUGGUGGCUGCAAAAGAUUUAAAGGCUCUGUUGUGAAUGGUCUGAUUGUAUAUACUAGGGGAAGAAAGUCUCAGAUCAAUGUGUACAGCGGAUUUUCGGAGAACGAUAAUAGGACGAAGUGUAAUAGCGCGGUGGAGCUGGAAAUUCUUGGAAGCUUGGCAGCAGGGGAAAGUUGUAGAACUGAUGAGGUUCAAAUUCAAACAAAAAGUUCUGCCUGUAAGAAAGAGUCCGAUGCAGUGGUAGAAAAUUCAGCAAAUAAGGAAGAAGGGGCCGAGGGGAGUCCCGUAGUUAUUGCGAACGCCG